GACACGUUUUCUGUCUCUUGAAUGUCUGCAGCGAUGGAGAGUGUUGUGUAUGUGGAGAUGUCAGCCGCCAUCCUGUACUCGCGGCCUAGUUCGAGGCCAUGGCUCCUCCCAAACAAAUGACCUGGCUUGUUAAUUUAAACAUGUUUUGGCAUAACUGUUCCUAAUGAGACUACAGCUUGUUAUAGCUCUGGCGUAUGAGGAUUCACUGACAUGAUGGAUUUGUGCAUAUGCCUGGCUUCUGGGUGAAGUUUGACUGUAAAGCCGACAAGAGUUCUUUGAGAGUUCUGUUGACUUGUUUCCUGCAAGAAUGGCUAAUGUAGGGCUAAAGCUAUCAAACUAUACUGAUUAGCCACAACAUUAAAACCACUGUAAAAACAUUAACAUUAAAGCCACAACAUUAAAACCUGUAUGCAGUAGUUGGUAACUACCAAAAGUGAUGGAAGGAGAACCAGUGAACUGGCGUCAGGUCAUGGGCGACCCAAGGCUCAUUGGUGCACGUGGGAGCAAAGGCUAGCCGGCCCGAUUACACUGAUCUACUGUAGCUGAAUUUGCUGAAGAAAUUAAUGCUGGCCAUGAUUGAAAUGUCAGAGCAUUGCAGUUUGCUCAACUUCCACCCUGCAUUGAGACAAGGCGGCCUUUAAAGGAUAUUGGGACUUUGUACUUGUCCUUUGUACACUAGAUAGCUUUUGUUAUCCUGUUAUUAUCAGUUGUAAAUUCCUGUUACAGCCUAUACUUUGCUUUCACAUCAUGACCUGGGCAAACUGGUGCGAGUAGUCCACUUUAGGGAACAUGAACAUCAAUAAAAAUUUGAAUGUUAA